rnacentral:rRNA from 1 species
CGCGUAGGCGGUCUGUUAAGUUGAAUGUGAAAACUCUGGGCUUAACCCAGAGCCUGCAUUCAAUACUGGCAGGCUAGAGUUCUGGAGGGGAUAGCGGAAUUCCUGGUGUAGCGGUGAAAUGCGUAGAUAUCAGGAGGAACACCGGUGGCGAAGGCGGCUAUCUGGACAGAGUCUGACGCUGAGGCGCGAAAGCUAGGGGAGCAAACAGGAUUAGAUACCCUGGUAGUCCUAGCCCUAAACGAUGGAUACUUGCUGUGACUGGGAUUGAAUCCAGCCGUGGCGAAGCUAACGCAUUAAGUAUCCCGCCUGGGGAGUACGGUCGCAAGGCUGAA